rnacentral:lncRNA from 1 species
CAUCAACACCACAGUUCCCGUCACUCACAUCACUGUAAUCUAAGGCCUUUUUUUUCUGUAAUUUUGACCUGUUUACUAUUCUAUGGAUCACUGCUACACUCGACGGCAAGGUGAACUCAAGUCACUCUAUCUGUAUCUUCACUAUCUUCACCCUAUCAUCAUCACCAUCACCACCUCAUUAGCCUACCACCGCUUAAAUAAUAGUAAAUGAGUGACCAAUAUAGUAACCAUCAUUAUCUUUCUAUCUCAUAUUAUUUUACGAAUCACUUAUAAUUAAAGUUAGUGUAAGCUGUUGCCACCUCUUGCACCUUCAACCCCAUUAUUAUUAUUACCACCACCACCACCACCACACCUGCGUUCCCUAGUGUUACAUAAACGUAUUUUGUCUUCGUUUUUCUAUUUCCACUGUUUGCGUCUUUACGGGAUUGAGUCAAGAUCUUUUUGUCCUUUCUCGUGUUUAAUCGUGAAGAAAUUACUUCUUUCUAGUUUCUGUAUGAAUUGCUUCCCUCGCAAUGCAUUUCUGAGAUAUCUCGGUUAGUGAGAGAGAGAGAGAGAGAGAGCGUGGACUGAUGGCAGAGAGAGGGAAGAAUGCGUCUCUUUCUUAUACACGUAAAUAAAGAGCUAUUCAUCACCCUCUCCCUCUCUCUCUCUGCAGCAUACAGAUUAGAAGGCUGCCGGUGACUAGUUAUCAGAGCUCGCUUCUCAUGCCUCGUGGUUAUCAGAUCACAGAAUAUUCAGUCGUGGCUCAGCCUUCACUCACAUAGGAGGUCAGCAUGUGUUACUCCAUUAUAAAGGAUAAGUGCUAUGUACAGAUAGACUUCAAAGUAAUAAAAGAACACAAGAGAACAGAAUAAAGUCAAGAUAAAGAUAAAGAAAUGCACAGAGUAAAAUCCCAGCAAAUAUGAAACUCUCCAGUGGGAUCAUAUCUUUACCACACAGAGUCAAGUGAAGGCUGCACCUUGGCUUGACGUGAGCUGUGCUAUGCUACCCAAGGAAUGUCCCGCGUGCCGAGUCGUCAGUCUGCAUGUGGCAUCUCAUUAGCUAUUUUUAAGCUUCAACACUUUAGCAUCUGAAAUGAAUGUGUUCUUGGGACACCAGAUCUUCAAUGAUGUUACAAUCAGCAUCUUUAUUGCAGGACCCAGAUGUUUUAGUGUCACUCUUAUCAUCACUAGUUACUCUAUUUAGACAAUGAUGUAAUGGUUUAUGAUACAGAGUCAGAAGUCUUCAAUAGAGAUGCUUUUUAUAUCAUCACUGAUCGUUCUCUUCCUAUUCUAGCAUCUGUUACUUAUGAAAAUUUCCACAAGUGAAAACGGAAUACGUAUCUACUUUGUGGAAUAGUAAAAAAAAAAUUAUGUGGUUCAGCCUGUUGAACUAUUGAUGAGUCAGGGUUUACUCAUCAUAAAGGACAUUGGCUCAUCCACUGAAUAUGAAUAUGAACUCAUCUCUAAUUUUAUUCAUGACUAUUUUUUCUGUUUAAAAUUAUCUUUGGAAUAAAAUGCAAGACAAGAAUGGUGAAUGAGGAAUUAGUGAAUAAUUGUUAUGUUAAAAAGUAUUCAGUAAUUAAUUCCCAACAUUUUACAAUGUUGACACAAAUUCUUGGCUAUUCACCACUUUAGUACAUCUCUUGGUAAAACACAGGGAAAGUUAGUUACACUAUGUACAUCUACCACCAACACAGUCCUUAUUCUGUGUUUAAACCCAAACUUUGUGCUCUCUUCAUAAUUAAUACAUUACUGUAAUACCAAGAUCUUUAUGCACACUGGCAAUAAAACCUGUUUAACUAAUAAAACAUAAUUGCCACUUCCA